rnacentral:rRNA from 1 species
UACGGGGGGGGCAAGCGUUGUUCGGAAUUACUGGGCGUAAAGGGCUCGUAGGUGGCCAACUAAGUCAUACGUGAAAUCCCUCGGCUUAACCGGGGAACUGCGUCUGAUACUGGAUGGCUUGAGGUUGGGAGAGGGAUGCGGAAUUCCAGGUGUAGCGGUGAAAUGCGUAGAUAUCUGGAGGAACACCGGUGGCGAAGGCGGCAUCCUGGACCAAUUCUGACACUGAGGAGCGAAAGCCAGGGGAACAAACGGG